CGGGCAGGCGAGGUUCCCCUGUUUGCAUCAGCCGGGGCGGGAACACCACCGCCGCGCGCCCUGCUCUCCCGGGAGCGGGGUUUCCAGUGACGCGCACAUUCUUCUCCCUCGCUCUGGCUCCUUCCCCUUGGAGGUGUUUCCCUGCGGCUGCCGGGGGACUCGGUCCCCGCGGGCCGCCGGGGGGAAAGUUGCACAGGGGCCGCCCCGGGCCCCGGAUCUCUGGCAGAGACGGGCGGCGGGGCGGGGGCUCUCCAAACCGUGCACGGCGGCGUGUGCCAACCCAAGAGUGCGGGGCUGAGCGGUCCUGGGGGUGCGAAGCGACUGGACUCGGGGCUCAGGGGCGUCCAGAGAAGCCGGCGGGGGGGGCGUGCCCAGGCCCGGGCUGUGCCUCCGUCCCCUCCCGCGAGCAGACUCACGACCCUCCCGCCCCUGAGACGGAUCCCCCGGGGCCCCCGCCUGGCACGGCGAGCGCCGGGAUUCGUGGCGCGGGAGUUGCUGCCCCGGAGCCCGCCGGCCGCGUGCCCCACGCCCCGGCCACGGGCUGCAGCUGCGCCCCGGCUUUGCCCCGCGCCCCGACAUCCCCGCGCCUCCCGCUGCCAAGUGCUGUGCUGCGGACGCGCGCUCCGGCUCUUUAUUUUUUUCCCCUUUUAUUUUCCCCACUAUUGGAGGUUAGAUUUCUUCUCCCCAGCACACGCACACGCACAGGCACGCGCGCGCGCCAAGAUUGGUGCAGUAAAUACUGCCCAGUUUGGGGCAAACCCGCAGGACCAGCCGCGUCUGGAGGCCGCGCGCACCCGCAGGGUUCCCGGGAGCGAUGCGCGCUCGCGCGCUUGUGUGUGUGUCCGUGUGUGCGCGCGUGUGCCUGUGCGCGCGUGCGUGUGUGCGCGUGUGUAUGUGCAUGUGUGUGCAUGUGUGUGUGUGCGUGCGUGAGUGCAUGUGCACGCGCCCCGGGACCGUGCCCACGCGGGGCCCGAGUGUGUGUCGCUGCGGGGAUCUGCGGCCGCGCUCGCACGUUCACGCGCUCGCCGCCACCCUCCCGGGCGGGGCGCCACAACUCGGAGUGACCCCCCCUCCCACCCACCCACACACACACACACACGCUCAGGGACCACCCCCCCUUCCCCGCCGGGCCUCGAAGCUUUGACACGCGCGCGAGUGAGUGGCCGCGGCAAGUUAAAAGGCGGCGGCAAGUGCGCACCCGCGCGGGCGCGGGUCCGGGUCUCCCCGCGGGAAGCCCGACGCUGCUGUGUCCGGCGCGGGGCUCCUGGUGACCGCGAUGCUCACUCUCCUGCCCCGGCCCGGGAGAGAGGACAGUCCCCGGCGGCGCCCUGGGAACGAAUGACCAAACCGCGGGAACGCGAGGACUCGCCCGCCUGUGCUGCCCAGGGGGCCUCCUCCCAGACUCCAGCUCGGCCGCGAGGACUCAAGCCUCUCCCAGAGCUGCAGGCUUUCGGGACCGUCCCUCGGAAACGCCGUGUGGACCCACAGACGGCCGUCUGGACUGGAAGUUCGGGGCGUCUCCUGCAGGUGCCCCUCGCUUUGUCCGAGCUCCUUCCCGCCACGUCUCCGGGGUCCCCCCGAGCGCCAGCCCUUAGGGCUGAGGAGGAUGAGCAUGUCUGAGAGGAUGGACGGGACGAGGUGGUGGUCCCCGGGGACAGCACCGCAUCCUUCCCAGGUCUGAUAUUUCCUGAUGAUUAUCCACGCCAAUCCACGAUGCUGCUUUUUCCUGAGUGAAAUACCCCUUCAUGCACGCAUGGUGAAUUUUCUCAUCAUUCUUUUGGCACUGCCCUACUAGUUCUUAUAAUCACGGACAACAUAAGGAGGCGGUAAUGGGGAUAUUGAUCAAGGAUUCUGCAUGGAGCACCUGCCUUUCCUAGUUGGAAUUUUCAAAGCCCCAACUUAAUGCCUCACAUACACCAGGUCACCUCUGGAAAGAUUCUUCAUAAUAUGCAAAAACUUGAAAUGUGGAUGACCUUAUUAGACAAUAAGACUAGAUUCACAUCAUCAAGACUGUUACGUGUAAUCUGUGGCUUCCUGUGGGUGCAUGGAUAUUUUCAAAUUAGCAUCAACAUAUGCAAGUCAUAGGGCAGACAAUAACAGCAGAACUAACAGUUGACAGUAUCUACCAGGGGCAAUGGCACGUCCCGUUGAACUGAGCAGUUUGAAGACGUGAGCUGGGAGAAUUCAGCCAAAUCCUGGGCCUUCCAUCUCCAGCCGUGCAGUUCCCAGGAAAAGGAAUUCUGGCCAAGUCCGAAUGAUUGCUCUUCUGAGGGCAAGUCUUCCCCAGGAGACUUCUCCCGGGGCCAUGUGAACAGAAGGAAAUGAAUGAUGCCAAAAGUUUCAAGACCUGCCCAGAUAGAUUCCUAGGAGCAUGCUCCACCUGGCCUCAGGGUGAUUACUAACAAGAGUGAAGCUGAGCUCACAGGGAUGAGAGACGAACUGCUCUUCUCGUCGCCAUCAUUUGGGAGAGAAACGUGGGUACCAUUGUCGGUGUCCCUCAAGGUGACUGAUAAUGCUUGAUCUUGUCAAAAAAAAGUUUUGUUUUGUGAUGCUUUAUUUUCCUUUGGGGUUACACCUGGUGGUGCUCAGGGCUGACUCCUGGUUCUACACUCAGGGAUGACUCCUGGUGGUGCUCAGGGGACCAGAUGGUGCCAGGAAUCAAACAGAGGGUUAGUCACAUGCAAGAAAAGUGGCUUAUCCGAGGUACCCGCCCAGUGAUGCACAAAGAAGAACAUAGGGAGAACAAGUGCAAGCCAUGGAAGAGGUCUCGCUAUGUCCAGGUCAUGGAACUCUUGGGUCAGGGCCAAUAACCCAGGGGGACAGAAGCUAAUAUUGAAAGUCCCCAGUUGCACAAGGACUUUCAGCAGGACUGGGACCCCUCAGCUUGGCGCCACAUGGGCUGAGAUGCCCCCAAACCUAGAGGAAUGCUGCCCUGGUCUCUGAGCAACACAAGAUCUCAGGCAAGUUUCUUGCCCCUUCACAAAAUCUCAGUGCUCAGAGGAUAGCUGACGUUAGAGAACGUUUAUCUGGCUGUCAGGGAGGCCUGUGCAGACCCUGUCCACAACUUUUGGCUGUGCGAGAGCAAAAGCUGGGACAGGAGCCUGGACUCCCAGCCACAGACACCGAGAGUGACCUACACUGCCCAGGGCGCAAGGCUCAGGAGUGGAAAGGGCCGUGGCACGUGGUACCUCGGGGGACACACGGAUCACUGAGCAGUGUGCUUAGGCCAGGGACAAGAAGCUUCUCACGUGACAACGGGUAGGCGCCAUUUCCAGGUCUAGGGACAGCAUUGUUCUAUGGCUCUAAGCUGAGAGUCCUCUGGGGGUACCGCAGGACAGGCCUAUACAGCUGGGUACAGCUCCGGGUCUCCGGGUUGCAUGUGGCCUGCAUUAGUUACGCUUCUGUUGGGUGACACUGGUGAAGCUGUGUCUGCACUAGUGGUGCAUGUUCACAGCUUCCCGAGUGUCUGUUACCACCUCACCCUCUGCCUCCACCACCAGCCUCUCCAGCUCUGUCUAGUCCUGCCCCCCACCCCCACCCUGUCUCCAAGUCCCAUUGCUCAGAUUCCACUCUAGAGUCAGAACCCGGGAGUCAGGCUAGAUUUGCCUUUGUCUAUUCUCUUGAUUAUUCCUUACGUCCCAACAAGAGUGAAACCAUCUGGUAGUUGUCUCCCACCUUCUGGUUUAUUUCACCUGUCAUGGCCCCCUCUGGACACCCCCCCGCCCCCAUUUACUGAGGAACCUGAGCUGUGUGGAUUCCUCUGAGUGUACAGAUCACAACUUCUUGCUCUCUCAUCAACUCCCUUUCUCCGUGAGAGGUGCUUGUGCCUGCACAGUAUAGGAUUCAAUAUUCAAUUGUUGUCGCUGAGGGUGAGUGGGAGCCCUAGUUUAAUAGUCCCAAAUCCCCUGGCAUAUUCAAGACCAAGGGGAAGAGGGAAAGGGACUGCCAUGCUCCCUAUGGUAUUUCACAAGGCUUCAGAUUCAAAUAGACAGUAACUCCCUCACCUGGACCUCUGCUGUUCUAGGUCCCUUGGUCAUGGGGCACCGGCCCUGCCAACUUCCCUGUAUAUAUGCAGAACACAGUCCAUUUGCCAGAUAACACAUUUUCCUCCACUUCAUCACUGGUAAGUUUCCCAGAAUUGUUUCUACCAACCUUGCACAGUGGACUCAUUUUAUCAAAUAACCAAGGCUUAUCCAACCAUAUGGACGGCUUGGUCCACUUUAUACUGUGCAGAUAAAUAAAAUAAAUUCCACUUUAGAAUAGAAUUUACAAUGUCCUGUCACGUAAUAAUAUCCACGUGCGCAAAAUACUUUUAAUGAAUUGAGAUACGAGAAAUACUAUUUCACAUUAGUAAAGCCAUCCAGUCCAAGUGUGUCCCCCACUGCUCAAGAUGUCGUUAGAGAGUGACAUAGGUUGGGUUCUUAUCAGAAAUGCAAACUUGUCCGAGAGGAAUAUUAACUUGACAAAACUGAAGCCAAGUUCAACUGAAUAUUUUAUUUUGAUUGCACCGCCAAUGGGUAGCUGUGAGCUGAUUUGAGUCGUUCCUGGAAAUACACAUCCAUUUCUAAAUGGGAGCAAGCCAGGAUAUGAAUAAAUAUCCCAAAUUCAUUCUCAACUAAUGUUCUAUUUAAAUCUUGGCUUAUUAUACAAAUAUUUUAAAAUUAUACUGAAAUGUUUUGGUUGAGAGGGAAUAAAACAAAUCCUAAUAUAUUAGUGAUCUAUUUGCCAAUUUAAUGCAGAAAUACAGAAAUGCUUCUGCAUGCAGCAAGAUUUACUCAAAAUGUAGACAUUUGUAGCAUAUUAUGUGUGUAUUGUAGUAAUAUGUUAUUCAGAUAAAUAGUGUUUUCAAAUUUUCAAUAAUGCUGGUUGGGAGGUAGAAUAAAACACAUUUGCUAUUGUAAAGGACUUUUCCUACCCAUUUUCUCAGAAGUUAGCAUUUUACCAAAAGCAGCUUAACUUCUCUUUGCAGAGAAUUAAACAUUUUAGUGAUAGCAUGUCUGAAAAUAAAGUCUGUUUACAGCUAUUAUUAUAGUCUUUGUUCUCAGAUUAGUAGUUGCUGGUAAGUUUAUCUUCUUUUUUUUUUUUUACAAGUACUUGUAAAUGCUGGUUAUUUGUCUAAGUGAACUCCUGCUGUUUUGUAAAGACAACUAAUUAUUCUGAACCCCAAACACUUUAUUGUCACUUUAAUAACCUAUCACACUUUCUCUUUCAUUCUGUAUAGUUUAUCCAGGUUUCAGUAAGAUUCUUUGAAAGAGUAGGAGGGGCCAGGGAGUUUGGGACCACAGGUGGUAAUGCUCAGGGGUUACUUCUGGUGGUGCUCAGGGGCCUUUCUGGUACUGGAGAAAGAAUCGGGGUUGGCUGCAUGCAAGGCAAGUGCCUUAACACUCAGGCUUGACAAUAGUUAUUAUCAAUUUGUGUGUUUUUUCAGAACUAUAAUUCCUACGUUGGCAUGUACUGUUUCUACUCUUUUUGACCACGUCACAUCUUUUAACACCCUAAAAAUCAGAUUCAAUUAAGAUGGUUUAUUGUCUUCCAAAUGAAUGUUCCUGCUUGGAUUCAAGGUCAUGAAAGAUAAGAAGUGGCCACCUGGCCUGUGGAGGGGCUAAUUCUACUGGUCACUGUGGAUCCUUGAGCUAUGAUUACAAACCCCGGGGUCAGGGGGUAGGAGAGAGGAAGCUACCUUGGUCUUUGGCGUCUUUCUCAGUUGGAUUGAAAUGCCAGGAAAUGAUCAGUGGUUCCCUCUUUGCAACCCAGGAAGAAAGCAUUUACUCAAAAUGUAGAUAUUUGGAGCAUAUCAUGUGCAUUGCAGUAAUAUGUUAUUCAGAUAAAUGGAAACCGACCUAGGAGACAGCGACUCUUUUCAGCUGGACCUUUCCUGGAGGGAAGCGGAAAGCAUCUUCCUCUGGCCCCCAGGCAGCUAGUGGGACUCUCCUCCCACUGAAGACAGACCCCGAGGACACUGCCACAGAACCCACGACAGGCCAAUGAACGAUUGGUGGCUGCUGCCCCACUGAAGUAGAAGUGCAAAGAGAGAGAAGUUGCAGAAGCAGUAGCGGGUGAUUCAAAUGUGCUUUAGAGAGUUGUGGGGUAUCCCUGACGCUGUAUGUAAUGGGUGUUUGAGAAAGAACCCUUCAAAGAUUCUGUCUUGCAAGCACCAGAUAUUUAGGCUGAAGAGAUGGCUCGAGGGCUGGAUGGGGGUGGUUCUGGCCUGCAGGGCCUGGCUUCUUUCCCUCACAGUACUGACACUGGGUGAGUCUCAGAGUCAAAUCCCCCCCUGAGCCUGGCUGGGUCUGGCCCAGAAGGAAGAAUCCAAAAGACAUUCACUCCUAAGAAAAUCGUUUA